UAAGAUGAAAUGUGAUGGGGUGAAAUCAUGGCAGUGUGAUUUUCAAACACCAACUUGCCUUGGAAGGAAAUGUGGGGAUGUGCACUGCUGGAAGCCAUGUGUUCUGAUAUGAGAAGAACUUCUUCAGAAGGUAUCUUAAUGCAUAUGGGGAAACUGAGGCCCAGCUGCUUGAGGGGAGCUGAGAGACCUAGAUACCAUAUUUAGAGUGGCUUAGGCAACAUCCACAAGGCCAGAAUAGCUCAUCUGUCCAGAACUAAAACGAGAUCCCUGCUCUACAGACUCUUCACCCAGCCCUUUUAUGAGUUGUCAUAGCCUUCUCCAGCAUGUGUUCCUUCUAUAUUUCAGACAUGGCAUAGGAGACACAGCAAUAACUAAGGGGCAACUAUUGCAUCCAGGAAAAAAAAAAAAGAAGAUAAUGACUUCUCUGCAACUAAGAUGAAGAUCCACUGAACUUUGGGGUUUGAAAUGCAACGUUAGAACUUCAGACUCCCGGCACCUAGGUCUCCAGCUUCUGGGUGGUGCCAGCAUCAGAGAUACACUCUGCAAAACAUAUACUGUCUUAGGAAAAAGUGACCCUGUUGUCCUUUCAGGCCCAUAUUCCACAGAAGACAAAUGGAGAUGUAAAAGGAAAACUGCAGCUCUGAGUUAAGAGAGAGCAAGUUGUCUGUUCUAAUACAGCCAGGAAAUAAGAUGUUCUGGUUAAUAUGUGCUAAAGAUGUGGUGCUGACUUUCCGACUCAGAAUA